rnacentral:rRNA from 1 species
ACGUAGGGUGCGAGCGUUAAUCGGAAUUACUGGGCGUAAAGCGUGCGCAGGCGGUUGUGCAAGACAGGUGUGAAAUCCCCGGGCUUAACCUGGGAACUGCACUUGUGACUGCACAGCUAGAGUACGGUAGAGGGGGAUGGAAUUCCGCGUGUAGCAGUGAAAUGCGUAGAUAUGCGGAGGAACACCGAUGGCGAAGGCAAUCCCCUGGACCUGUACUGACGCUCAUGCACGAAAGCGUGGGGAGCAAACAGGAUUAGAUACCCUGGUAGUCCACGCCCUAAACGAUGUCAACUGGUUGUUGGACGGCUUGCUGUUCAGUAACGAAGCUAACGCGUGAAGUUGACCGCCUGGGGAGUACGGCCGCAAGGUUG